GAAAGGUGCUUGCACCUUUCAAGUGAGUGGCGAACGUAGUGAGUAACACGUGGACAACCUGCCUCAAGGCUGGGGAUAACAUUUGGAAACAGAUGCUAAUACCGAAUAAAACUUAGUGUCGCAUGACAAAAAGUUAAAAGGCGCUUCGGCGUCACCUAGAGAUGGAUCCGCGGUGCAUUAGUUAGUUGGUGGGGUAAAGGCCUACCAAGACAAUGAUGCAUAGCCGAGUUGAGAGACUGAUCGGCCACAUUGGGACUGAGACACGGCCCAAACUCCUACGGGAGGCUGCAGUAGGGAAUCUUCCACAAUGGGCGAAAGCCUGAUGGAGCAACGCCGCGUGUGUGAUGAAGGCUUUCGGGUCGUAAAGCACUGUUGUAUGGGAAGAACAGCUAGAAUAGGAAAUGAUUUUAGUUUGACGGUACCAUACCAGAAAGGGACGGCUAAAUACGUGCCAGCAGCCGCGGUAAUACGUAUGUCCCGAGCGUUAUCCGGAUUUAUUGGGCGUAAAGCGAGCGCAGACGGUUUAUUAAGUCUGAUGUGAAAGCCCGGAGCUCAACUCCGGAAUGGCAUUGGAAACUGGUUAACUUGAGUGCAGUAGAGGUAAGUGGAACUCCAUGUGUAGCGGUGGAAUGCGUAGAUAUAUGGAAGAACACCAGUGGCGAAGGCGGCUUACUGGACUGCAACUGACGUUGAGGCUCGAAAGUGUGGGUAGCAAACAGGAUUAGAUACCCUGGUAGUCCACACCGUAAACGAUGAACACUAGGUGUUAGGAGGUUUCCGCCUCUUAGUGCCGAAGCUAACGCAUUAAGUGUUCCGCCUGGGGAGUACGACCGCAAGGUUGAAACUCAAAGGAAUUGACGGGGACCCGCACAAGCGGUGGAGCAUGUGGUUUAAUUCGAAGCAACGCGAAGAACCUUACCAGGUCUUGACAUCCUUUGAAGCUUUUAGAGAUAGAAGUGUU
rnacentral:rRNA from 1 species